CUGGACGGACCAGUCAGUGACAUCAUGUAUCCUCUGCUGUCCUGUCACGUUCACUGAUCUACAGCAAGUCUAUAAGAUGAAGCACUGAUCUGCAAACCCAUCACUUGACUGAACUCUGCUCCGCUUCCACAUAGGGCAGUAUGAAGCUGAAGUCAUGACUGAAAAUAACACCGUGACCCAACCCAGGCCCUUCAUCAUGUCUGCUGCAACCAACUUCAGAAAUCUGUGAUUGCUUCCAAGACCUGCCCGUGUGGUACAAUUUGCAAUGACUGCGUGUGCGCCUGCUGCUGGGGGACGUGCACCUGGUGUCAAAUAGCAAGAGAAAUCAAAA